AGCGAACGCUGGCGGCAGGCCUAACACAUGCAAGUCGAGCGCCCCGCAAGGGGAGCGGCAGACGGGAGAGUAACACGUGGGAACGUACCCUUCAGUUCGGAACAACCAAGGGAAACUUUG
rnacentral:rRNA from 1 species